AAAUGCCCUUAAAAUUUUUCUCAAGGGAUUUGGGGGGUUGAAGCUCUUUGGAAAGCUGAACCAAACAUCCCCGUAAUCCCUUCUUGGCCAUUUUCCAACUCCUCUUUCGGAGCGGCAUUACGCAAUCGAGGCUUUGCUAACUGACGCGAUCGCGCUCGCGCUCGGGACAGCAGCAGAGCGGAAGCCUCGACGACGCGUGCGGUUUUUUUUUUUUAUUUCUGGGCAUCCUGAAGAGGAAUUCUCCAUCGGAAAACAACGCUUGCGAUCCCUGCGGGAAGAAGGAACCAUGGACGACGAGCUGCUGGAGCUGCAGAGGCAAUUCGAGUUCGCGCAGCAGGCCAAAUCCAGCGUCCGCCUCUCCGACCGCAACGUCGUCGAGCUGGUCCAGAAGCUCCAGGAGCUCCGGAUCAUCGACUUCGAUCUCCUCCACACCGUCUCCGGCAAGGAAUACAUCACUCCUGAUCAACUGAGGCAUGAAAUGCUGUCGGAGGUACAGAAAUUGGGGCGCAUUUCUCUAAUUGACCUUGCCGACACUACUGGGGUUGAUUUGUACCAUGUCGAGAAGCAAGCUCGAGUUAUGGUGGCUGGUAAUCCAGGCCUUACGUUUAUUCAAGGGGAAAUCAUAUCACAACAUUACUGGGACUCGGUUGCUGAAGAGGUCAAUGAGCGGCUUCAAGAAUGUAGUCAGAUAGCUUUAGCAGAACUAGCUGCGCAAUUACAUGUUGGCUCAGAGUUAUUGACAUCAGUCCUGGAGCCUCGACUUGGGAGCACGGUGAAAGGAAGGCUUGAAGGUGGGCAGUUGUACACUCCAGCAUAUGUUGCUAGAGUUAGUGCUAUGGUUCGUGGUGCUGCGAGAGGCAUUUCUGUCCCUACAAAUCUGUCUGCAUUGUGGAGUUCUCUACAGCAACUUCUGCAGGAAAUGGAUGGAGCUACUGGAGUGUCCGUCGAAGCAUCAUUCUUCCAGUCCCUAUUCAAUGAGCUAUUGAAGGGAGGAGAGAUUCUGGGUUCACUCCGUGCAGGAGUGUACUGGACUCCAACUGUCUUUGCCAUUGCUCAGAAGGAAUGUGUUGAUUCUUUUUUCUCGCAGAAUUCCUUCAUUAUAUAUGAAACGCUUAGCAGACUGGGAAUAUCGCAACCUGUUCAAUUCUUACAGUCCAGGUAUCCUGAUGGAUUACCGUUGGCAAAUGCUUUUGUGCAUCCCUCCUUGACAGAAAUGGUGGAUACUGCUAUUGAAGAUGCUGUUGAACGUUCUAGCUGGAUUGACUCAUUAUCUGUAUUACCUGCGUCCUUUGGUUCUCAAGAUGCAUCCACGAUUUUAUUACAUUGUCCGUCUGUUCAGUCUGCUCUCAAGUCUAAUAAAGCUCUAAUCCUUGAGGAGUCCUUUGUCUUUAGCAAUGCCUUUAUCAAGGAUGUAUAUGAUCGCCUGGAGAAAGAGAUGGCAGUAGCUAAUCUCUCAGGAUCUGGUAGAGUUAAUCUUUCUGAUGAUCGAUCUUCAGCCAAGGAUGCUAAAGGAGUGCAUGAUUCUGGCCUUUCCUCCGAGUUAAAUGAAACUUCAAGUGAAAGUACGUCUAUUAAACAUGCUGUUGAUAAAGGGGGAAGGAAAAAGAAGGGAAAAUCUGCUGGAAAUGCUAAAUCUGGUGCAACUGAGAGUGGUCUGGACAAUCAGGAUUUUGUGCCGGUAAAAUCUAAGAAAAACCAGAAGAAGAGCAAAGAUUUAUCUUCUGUACAUUCAUCAGAAGUGAAAUCAAGCACUAAGAAAGAUGCCAAAUCCCAAGAAGAAAACCAGGGUAUUCCUUCAGGAGAAUGGAUUGUGCAAAUGAUCACUACAUUGUUUCCUGAUUUUGAAGAGCAAGGUGUUGAUGAUCCAUCCAGUAUAAUUAGGUCUCUAGCUAACCACUUGAGACCUAUGCUAAUCAAUUCAUGGAAGGAAAAAAGAAAGGCAGUGUUUACAGAAAAUGCAGAGAGAAUGAAACGGUUGCUUGAUGAUUUGCAAAAGAAAAUAGAUGAAGCUUUGUUAAAUAUACAGCUAUAUGAAAAGGCAUUAGAUUUGUUUGAAGAUGACCCAUCCACUUCAGUGGUUUUGCACAGGCAUCUCUUAAGAACAACAGCUGCUUCUAUUGUAGAUACGCUAUUUGUUGAUCUGGAUGCCUACAACAAAUUAAAGACUGGAGCUGAAACCGAAAAUCCUGAAAAUUCACAGUGUGUCUCGUUUAGUUCUGCAGAAAGAACUGCUCUUGCAAAGACAUUUCCUGGAAGCCUUUCAAAGAAGGCUCUUGCAGUGGUUGACGCUUUGGAGGGAAAGAGUGUGGAAAUUUUCAUGACUGCACUGACAGAUUUUGCAGAGGAGAGUGGAUUGGUAGUGAAAAAGCUUGAUAAGAAACUGGAAAGGGCACUUCUGCAUUCUUACCGCAAGGAUUUGACCUCUCAAGUGUCUACGGAAGAGGAUCCUAUCUCUCUUCUGCCAAAAGUAGUGUCGCUACUGUAUAUUCAGGUUCAUGGUAAGGCUCUUCAAGCUCCUGGGAGGGCCAUUUCUAUUGCCAUUACCAGAUUGAAGGAUAAGCUACAGGACUCGGCUUACAAGAUUUUGACAGAUUAUCAAGCUGCUACAGUCACCCUCCUCUCACUGAUUUCUGCCUCCACUGGUGACGAAGAGGAUUGCACUUCUGAGAGAAUUUCCAGUAAGAGGGAGCUUCUGGAGAAUCUAAUGCCAGCACUGAAGAGCGUGGUGCUCAGCAAGCCUCAAGCCUGAGAAUUAGCCAGAAUUGUGCCAUCUUACGGUUAGAUCAUAACUGACUUGGGGAAUUUAUGUUACGGCAAUUUUUUAGACAAUCAAAUGAUCUUGCGACGCUGGCAAUUGUGCUGGUAAUGGGGGAGUUAUCUUGUGCAGGGGAGGGAGGAGAGAGAGAGGAAA